AUGGAAUCCCUACUACACUGGGAUUUCAAGCCCGGCCUUGCGGUGGCCGAUAAGGUACGUCGGCGGUUUGGAGAAACGGUUCACUUCUCUCCAUCUCGCAAGACCAAGGAAUUUUUCUUGGUGGUUUCUUUCUCUUCGGCUUCAUUUCCCCUCUCUGAGGAUUCUUUGGGGGUGGCUUUACAAUGUUGCAUUGGGGGUGAUCCACAAGGGUUCAAGGUAUCCAAGCUUUGUGAUCGAUCCUUUCGGUUCUCGGUGGCUGGUAACAAAGUUGGUCAUUUCAUUCAUGCUCUAAAAGAUUGCAUAUGGCCGCGCUUUGUUCGUCAUUUUCAUCUGUUUAAUGGUCGUUUCAAUGGUUUUAAGCAUUAUGGUUAUCAGUGGCAUGCAGAUGAAAGAAUUGAGCCUAUUGCUAGUCGUUCCCCUAUGGCCAUUCGGUACAACAAUCCAUCUUCGAAAAUCCGCAUUUAUGUAGUGAAUCAUCCAAAGAGUUGA
rnacentral:rRNA from 1 species